rnacentral:rRNA from 1 species
AGUGAACGCUGGCGGCAGGCCUAAUACCUGCAAGUCGGACGGCAGCACAGUGGAGCUUACUCCAUGGGUGGCGAGUGGCGGACGGGUGAGGAAUACAUGGGAAUCUGCCCAGUCGUGGGGGAUAACGUAGGGAAACUUACGCUAAUACCGCAUGCGCCCUUCGGGGGAAAGCCGGGGACCUUCGGGCCUGGCGCGAUUGGAUGAGCCCAUGUCGGAUUAGCUAGUUGGCGGGGUAAUGGCCCACCAAGGCGACGAUCCGUAGCUGGUCUGAGAGGAUGAUCAGCCACACUGGGACUGAGACACGGCCCAGACUCCUACGGGAGGCAGCAGUAGGGAAUAUUGGACAAUGGGGGCAACCCUGAUCCAGCCAUGCCGCGUGAGUGAAGAAGGCCUUCGGGUUGUAAAGCUCUUUUGUCCGGGAAGAAAAGCAUCUGGCUAAUACCUGGAUGUGUUGACGGUACCGGAAGAAUAAGCACCGGCUAACUUCGUGCCAGCAGCCGCGGUAAUACGAAGGGUGCAAGCGUUACUCGGAAUUACUGGGCGUAAAGCGUGCGUAGGUGGUCUGCUAAGUCUGAUGUGAAAGCCCUGGGCUCAACCUGGGAAUGGCAUUGGAAACUGGCGGGCUAGAGUGCGGUAGAGGGUAGUGGAAUUCCCGGUGUAGCAGUGAAAUGCGUAGAGAUCGGGAGGAACAUUCGUGGCGAAGGCGGCUACCUGGACCAGCACUGACACUGAGGCACGAAAGCGUGGGGAGCAAACAGGAUUAGAUACCCUGGUAGUCCACGCCCUAAACGAUGCGAACU